UACGUAGGGUGCGAGCGUUUGUCCGGAAUUAUUGGGCGUAAAGAGCUCGUAGGCGGUUCGUCGCGUCGGCUGUGAAAUCCCGAGGCUCAACCUCGGGUCUGCAGUCGAUACGGGGCGGACUGGAGUUCGGCAGGGGAGACUGGAAUUCCUGGUGUAGCGGUGGAAUGCGCAGAUAUCAGGAGGAACACCGGUGGCGAAGGCGGGGUCUCUGGGCAGUAACUGACGCUGAGGAGCGAAAGCGUGGGGAGCGAACAGG
rnacentral:rRNA from 1 species